UACGGAGGGGGCAAGCGUUGUCCGGAAUCACUGGGCGUAAAGGGUGCGUAGGCGGGUCUUUUAAGUCAGGGGUGAAAUCCUGGAGCUCAACUCCAGAACUGCCUUUGAUACUGAGGAUCUUGAGUUCGGGAGAGGUGAGUGGAACUGCGAGUGUAGAGGUGAAAUUCGUAGAUAUUCGCAAGAACACCAGUGGCGAAGGCGGCUCACUGGCCCGAUACUGACGCUGAGGCACGAAAGCGUGGGGAGCAAACAGG
rnacentral:rRNA from 1 species